rnacentral:rRNA from 20 species
AAAUUGAAGAGUUUGAUCAUGGCUCAGAUUGAACGCUGGCGGCAGGCCUAACACAUGCAAGUCGAACGGUAACAGGAAGAAGCUUGCUUCUUUGCUGACGAGUGGCGGACGGGUGAGUAAUGUCUGGGAAACUGCCUGAUGGAGGGGGAUAACUACUGGAAACGGUAGCUAAUACCGCAUAACGUCGCAAGACCAAAGAGGGGGACCUUCGGGCCUCUUGCCAUCGGAUGUGCCCAGAUGGGAUUAGCUUGUUGGUGGGGUAACGGCUCACCAAGGCGACGAUCCCUAGCUGGUCUGAGAGGAUGACCAGCCACACUGGAACUGAGACACGGUCCAGACUCCUACGGGAGGCAGCAGUGGGGAAUAUUGCACAAUGGGCGCAAGCCUGAUGCAGCCAUGCCGCGUGUAUGAAGAAGGCCUUCGGGUUGUAAAGUACUUUCAGCGGGGAGGAAGGGAGUAAAGUUAAUACCUUUGCUCAUUGACGUUACCCGCAGAAGAAGCACCGGCUAACUCCGUGCCAGCAGCCGCGGUAAUACGGAGGGUGCAAGCGUUAAUCGGAAUUACUGGGCGUAAAGCGCACGCAGGCGGUUUGUUAAGUCAGAUGUGAAAUCCCCGGGCUCAACCUGGGAACUGCAUCUGAUACUGGCAAGCUUGAGUCUCGUAGAGGGGGGUAGAAUUCCAGGUGUAGCGGUGAAAUGCGUAGAGAUCUGGAGGAAUACCGGUGGCGAAGGCGGCCCCCUGGACGAAGACUGACGCUCAGGUGCGAAAGCGUGGGGAGCAAACAGGAUUAGAUACCCUGGUAGUCCACGCCGUAAACGAUGUCGACUUGGAGGUUGUGCCCUUGAGGCGUGGCUUCCGGAGCUAACGCGUUAAGUCGACCGCCUGGGGAGUACGGCCGCAAGGUUAAAACUCAAAUGAAUUGACGGGGGCCCGCACAAGCGGUGGAGCAUGUGGUUUAAUUCGAUGCAACGCGAAGAACCUUACCUGGUCUUGACAUCCACAGAACUUUCCAGAGAUGGAUUGGUGCCUUCGGGAACUGUGAGACAGGUGCUGCAUGGCUGUCGUCAGCUCGUGUUGUGAAAUGUUGGGUUAAGUCCCGCAACGAGCGCAACCCUUAUCCUUUGUUGCCAGCGGUCCGGCCGGGAACUCAAAGGAGACUGCCAGUGAUAAACUGGAGGAAGGUGGGGAUGACGUCAAGUCAUCAUGGCCCUUACGACCAGGGCUACACACGUGCUACAAUGGCGCAUACAAAGAGAAGCGACCUCGCGAGAGCAAGCGGACCUCAUAAAGUGCGUCGUAGUCCGGAUUGGAGUCUGCAACUCGACUCCAUGAAGUCGGAAUCGCUAGUAAUCGUGGAUCAGAAUGCCACGGUGAAUACGUUCCCGGGCCUUGUACACACCGCCCGUCACACCAUGGGAGUGGGUUGCAAAAGAAGUAGGUAGCUUAACCUUCGGGAGGGCGCUUACCACUUUGUGAUUCAUGACUGGGGUGAAGUCGUAACAAGGUAACCGUAGGGGAACCUGCGGUUGGAUCACCUCCUUA